AAAAGAGAAACAAGAGGAAACGAAAAAGGGGAGGGAGGAAUAUAUACAUUCCUUUGUUUGUCUUUUGCUCUUUGCUUUGUUU
rnacentral:ribozyme from 14 species